rnacentral:tRNA from 1 species
GAGAAGGUGGCUCAGUGGUAGAGUGCUUGCCUGGCAUGCAUGAGGCCCUGGGUUCAAUUCCUCAACUCC